rnacentral:rRNA from 1 species
AUUGAACGCUGGCGGCAUGCCUUACACAUGCAGGUCGAACGGUAACAGGUCUUCGGAUGCUGCCGAGUGGCGAACGGGUGAGUAAUACAUCGGAACGUGCCCAGACGUGGGGGAUAACGUGGCGAAAGCUUUGCUAAUACCGCAUACGAUCUAAGGAUGACAGCAGGGGACCGCAAGGCCUUGCGCGUUUGGAGCGGCCGAUGGCAGAUUAGGUAGUUGGUGGGAUAAAAGCUUACCAAGCCGACGAUCUGUAGCUGGUCUGAGAGGACGACCAGCCACACUGGGACUGAGACACGGCCCAGACUCCUACGGGAGGCAGCAGUGGGGAAUUUUGGACAAUGGGCGAAAGCCUGAUCCAGCAAUGCCGCGUGCAGGAUGAAGGCCUUCGGGUUGUAAACUGCUUUUGUACGGAACGAAAAGGCUCUGGCUAAUACCUGGGGCACAUGACGGUACCGGAAGAAUAAGCACCGGCUAACUACGUG